UACGUAGGGGGCAAGCGUUGUCCGGAAUUAUUGGGCGUAAAGAGCGCGUAGGCGGUCCGAUAAGUCGGCUGUGAAAGUCAAGGGCUCAACCCUUGAAAGCCGGCCGAUACUGUCGGACUAGAGUCCGGAAGAGGCGAGUGGAAUUCCCGGUGUAGCGGUGAAAUGCGCAGAUAUCGGGAGGAACACCAAUGGCGAAGGCAGCUCGCUGGGACGGUACUGACGCUAAGGCGCGAAAGCGUGGGGAGCAAACAGG
rnacentral:rRNA from 1 species